rnacentral:rRNA from 1 species
UGUAGUUAACACCUGCAUUAUUUGACGUUACCUACAGAAGAAGCAACCGGCUAACUCCGUGCCAGCAGCCGCGGUAAUACGGAGGGUGCGAGCGUUAAUCGGAAUUACUGGGCGUAAAGCGCAUGCAGGCGGCCUGUUAAGUCAGAUGUGAAAGACCCGGGGCGUUAACCUCGGAAUUGCAUUUGAAACUGGCAGGCUAGAGUCUUGUAGAGGGGGGUAGGGAAGUUUCAGGUGUAGCGGUGAAAUAGCGUAGAGAUCUGAAGGAAUACCAGUGGCGAAGGCGGCCCCCCUCGGACAAAGACUGACGCUCAGAUGCGAAAGCGUGGGGAGCAAACAGGAUUAGAUACCCUGGUAG